UACGGAGGGGGCGAGCGUUGUCCGGAAUUACUGGGCGUAAAGAGCGUGUAGGCGGCGUGCUUAGUCGGCUGUGAAAGCCCCGGGCCCAACUCGGGGAGGCCGGCCGAUACUGGUGCGCUUGAGUGCGGGAGAGGAAAGUGGAACUACCGGUGUAGCGGUGAAAUGCGUAGAGAUCGGUAGGAACACCCGUGGCGAAGGCGGCUUUCUGGACCGCAACUGACGCUGAGACGCGAAAGCCAGGGGAGCGAACGGG
rnacentral:rRNA from 1 species